GACGAACGCUGGCGGCGUGCUUAACACAUGCAAGUCGAACGGAGGGUUUAUUUCGGUAAAUCCUUAGUGGCGAACGGGUGAGUAACGCGUGGGCAAUCUGCCCUUCAGAUGGGGACAACAUCCCGAAAGGGGUGCUAAUACCGAAUACGAUCACGCUGCCGCAUGGCGGUGUGAUGAAAGAUGGCCUCUAUUUAUAAGCUAUCGCUGAAGGAUGAGCCUGCGUCUGAUUAGCUAGUUGGUGGGGUAACGGCCUACCAAGGCGAUGAUCAGUAGCCGGUCUGAGAGGAUGAACGGCCACAUUGGGACUGAGACACGGCCCAAACUCCUACGGGAGGCAGCAGUGGGGAAUAUUCCGCAAUGGACGAAAGUCUGACGGAGCAACGCCGCGUGAGUGAUGAAGGUUUUCGGACUGUAAAGCUCUGUUGUUUAGGACGAAAGUGCCUGUUGCAAAUAGUUACAGGUAUUGACGGUACUGAACGAGGAAGCCACGGCUAACUACGUGCCAGCCGCCGCAGUAA
rnacentral:rRNA from 1 species